rnacentral:rRNA from 1 species
GGUGCGGAACACGUACACAACCUUCCUUUAGGUGGGGAAUAGCCCAGAGAAAUUUGGAUUAAUACCCCGUAACACAACGAAGUGGCAUCACUUUGUUGUUAUAGUUUCGGCGCUUAAUGAUGGGUGUGCGUAUGAUUAGAUAGUUGGCGAGGUAACGGCUCACCAAGUCUACGAUCAUUAGCUGAUGUGAGAGCAUGAUCAGCCACACGGGCACUGAGACACGGGCCCGACUCCUACGGGAGGCAGCAGUAAGGAAUAUUGGUCAAUGGACGCAAGUCUGAACCAGCCAUGCCGCGUGAAGGAUUAAGGUCCUCUGGAUUGUAAACUUCUUUUAUAUGGGACGAAAAAAGGUCUUUCUAGACCCCUUGACGGUACCAUAUGAAUAAGCACCGGCUAACUCCGCGCCAGCAGCCGCGGUAAUACGGAGGGUGCAAGCGUUAUCCGGAUUCACUGGGUUUAAAGGGUGCGUAGGCGGGUAGGUAAGUCAGUGGUGAAAUCCUGGAGCUCAACUCCAGAACUGCCAUUGAUACUAUCUAUCUUGAAUAUUGUGGAGGUAAGCGGAAUAUGUCAUGUAGCGGUGAAAUGCUUACAUAUGCCAUAGAACACCCAUUGAGAAGCAGCUUACUACGCAUAUAUUGACGCUGAGGCACGAAAGCGUGGGGAUCAAACAGGAUUAGAUACCCUGGUAGUCCGCGCCCUAAACUAUGGAUACUCGACAUAUGCGAUACACUGUAUGUGUCUGAGCGAAGCAUUAAGUAUCCCGCCUGGGAAGUACGUUCGCAAGAAUGAAACUCAAAGGAAUUGGCGGGGGUCCGCACAAG